CUUCCUCCUUCCUCUCCUUAAAGCCUAGAGGUAGCGGUCUUUUCCUUAACCUCCUGAUGUUACCCUACGGAUUUAUUUUCACGGCAUUCCGAAGGUUUGCGGGCUUAAGAAAACCCCUGAGGAACACAUCAGCCUACAACUACUACAAGGCGAAAAAUUACAGUGGAACCCGCAGGGCCGAGGAGGGCAUCCCUUUCUGAGAAGCCAUCUGAAGCGCUCCGUGAGCCUGCCCCUGGCUACCGCACCGCGUCCCUAAGGGCAACCGCGAAGACGCUUCAG